rnacentral:tRNA from 1 species
CUGAUAGCUCAGUCGGUAGAGCAGAGGAUUGAAAAUCCUCGUGUCGGUGGUUCGAUUCCACCUCAG